GGCAAGUCCUUAGAUCCUACCUUUAAAAUGAAAGCUGUUUUGCCGGAUUUUUAAAGCAUUUAUUUGGUUGUUUAAGGGGCUGGAGUGUUGAGAGAAUCUUCUUGAUCACAUUAACGUGCCAUUAAUGAGAAACAGCAGUGACAAUAUCACACAAGCCUGAGCGGAUUUUUACUGGCGCACAUUUUUAUGACCAUGGGACGACACUGCAAAGUCUGCCCGGGGCCUUGGGGACAGCAGUAGUAGGACAGUGACUCAGCACAUGUAAUGUAAUGAGGUCAGUCUCCCAGCACACUGCGAUUUAACGCUGCCUCCAAGACAGAAGAUCAAGGAUAAUACUCCAAAACACAAAUCACUGGUGUCGGCGGCAUGGAACAUUUACAGGCAGCUGUAUUGGUCUGCUGUGGGUCAGGUGUGUGUCCAGCACGAGGAUAAAGAAGACAUAACCCCAAACCUCAAAGGACUAUCUUAUCUUCAAAAUUGAGCAUGAUGGUUGGCACGUAACAAAGAGAGAGAGAAACAUCAAUGUGAGAGAAGCAUCGAUCAGUUGCCUGACACAUGCAUUCCACCCAGGGAUCAAACUUAGAACCAAGCCCUGACCAGGAUUCAAACCUGCAACCUUUUUGGUGUAUGAGCAACACUCCAACCAACUGAACCACCUGACUGGGAUGCACCAAUAUCUGCAAGCUUUGACAGUUCCUAAGAGCACAGCAAAGUUUACUGCAACAAAUUUGUUUACUUCCAAAGGGCAAAUGUACCAGAACACUUUUCGGCUGCUGGCUUUGUUUGUUGCCUGGGAAUGGACUUGAGUUGCUGCACCAAAGAUCUUGUUACUCUGAGUGCUAUCCGUGAAAGAACGGAAGUGCGUCCUAGCCUCUGAUUCACCAUCUCCACAUCUCUUCCUCAGGAUUGUCUCAUUUCUCUGUGUGCUCUGGGAGGGGUGGCUCAGUCUUACAGUAAUCAAACAUGGUAAGGGAGUUCCUAUUUAAUCCAGUGGUUUUAAAGGGAAUUCUAUUUGCAAUAUCUGGAGUACCUCAUUCAGUCUUCUUUGAAUUUUUCCAAAGCAACUUAUCUCUUUUGUGACCCUUAUUUAGCGUAUAUGCUGAAGUGCAAAUUCUCAGUACCUUGGAAUGUGACUGUGUUUGGCCAUAGGAUCUUUAAAGAGGUAAUUAAGGUACAAAUGAAGUCAUUAGGGUGGGCCUUACCUCAAUAUGGCUUGUGCCCUUAGUAGAAGAGAAGAUUAAGACACAGACAUGCACAGAAGGAAGGCCAUGUGAAGACACAGGAAGAAGGAGGGCCAUCUGCAAGCCAGAGAGAGCGAUCUCAGAAGAAACCAACCCUGGUGACACCUAGAAUAAUGCC